rnacentral:tRNA from 1 species
GCAUCUCCCUUACACUGAGAAAUCACCCGUGCAAGUCGGGUCGCCCUGA